AGAGUUUGAUCCUGGCUCAGAUUGAACGCUCGCGGCAUGCUUUACACAUGCAAGUCGAACGGCAGCGCGGGGCAACCUGGCGGCGAGUGGCGAACGGGUGAGUAAUAUAUCGGAACGUACCCAAGAGUGGGGGAUAACGUAGCGAAAGUUACGCUAAUACCGCAUACGAUCCAAGGAUGAAAGCAGGGGACCGCAAGGCCUUGUGCUCCUGGAGCGGCCGAUAUCUGAUUAGCUAGUUGGUGAGGUAAAGGCUCACCAAGGCCACGAUCAGUAGCUGGUCUGAGAGGACGACCAGCCACACUGGAACUGAGACACGGUCCAGACUCCUACGGGAGGCAGCAGUGGGGAAUUUUGGACAAUGGGCGCAAGCCUGAUCCAGCAAUGCCGCGUGAGUGAAGAAGGCCUUCGGGUUGUAAAGCUCUUUUGUCAGGGAAGAAACGGUGGGAGCUAAUAUCUUCUACUAAUGACGGACCG
rnacentral:rRNA from 1 species